rnacentral:rRNA from 1 species
ACGGGGGGUGCGAGCGUUGUUCGGAAUUAUUGGGCGUAAAGAGCGUGUAGGCGGCUGAAUAAGUCAGAUGUGAAAUCCCUGGGCUUAACCCAGGACGUGCAUUUGAAACUAUUCGGCUAGAGUAGGGGAGAGGAAAGUGGAAUUCCUGGUGUGGCGGUGAAAUGCGUCGAUAUCGGGGGUGACACCGGUGGGGGUGGCGACUUACUAGCCCUAUACUGACGCGGAGACGGGGGAGCGUGUGUAGAGAUUUG